CCUCUGCCGCGAGGCCGGGUGGGUCGUCAAAGACGACGGCACCACCUACCGCAAGGUCUCUAUCUCUUCGUUCUUUUUUCCCCUUCUUUUCUUCUUCCUCUGGUCUCUCUUUUAAGCUGUUGGAUUACAAGAGAUCAGUAGUGGCUGUGAAGGUCGACAAUCAUCUGAGAUCACACGAGUUGUGAUUUUGUCGAUGAAAAUGAACUCAAAUUCUGAUCUUGACGAGCCUUCGUCUGGAAUCAUGCAAGAUGGACUGAUCUCAUCCUUACAGAUCCUAUUUAAUGUGUUUUAGGUACUCAUUCAAGCCAAGAUCAAAGUUUGGAUUCUCGAAGUUUGUGUCUCCACUGCCAUAAUUCUCUUUCACAUCACUCCAAGUGUGUAUCUCUUCUUUCCCACUCUCCAUCCUGCUUUAGGGAGAAGAGAAAGUUGGAGAACAUAUCACUUGAAAGUAAACCUUGAGGUCAUUUAAGCUGAUGAAUGUUUCAUGAAACAGAAAGAAAACAAAAACAUCUCAUGUUGAAAGACAAUUUCUGGGCUGAUCAGAGAUUUCAGAAACAAAAAUAAAGGGAAAGCAUUUUGAUGCAUUCACUGGGUUGAAGCUUCGUCUAACUCUUCUCAUCUCUCAAUUCUCUGUACACUGAAGCUGAUACAACAUCUGAAGGUGAUGAAUCAGUUGGAUCAAGCGGGUGGAUCAACUUCCAGAUGACAGCUCCAGCAUCUCCAACCUACAACUUUGUCAACCCAUUUGCCACUUCAUCGAAUGUGGUAACUUGUCCACGAGGAGAGGUGUCAGAGAGAGGGAAGGGAGGCAGGGAAUUUGAAUUCGGGAGGAGGAAAGUGAAGCCUAGGCAGGGAGAGAGGAUUCAUAAUGUCAGUUUGGAUGAUCUUGAGCUCCAAUUGGGAACGCUAGGCAUGGUGUCAAAGUGAAAUAUCUCAGGUGUUUGUUCUCUGUGAUUCCUGGUUUCAUCCUCAUGCACUGAAUGCUAAGUCUGCUGAGUUA